GUGCUGGCUUCGGCAGCACAUAUACUGAAGUUGGAUGUAUACAGAGAUGGUUAGCAUGGCUCUUGUGCAAUGACGACACACAAAUUCGUGAAGUGUUCCAUAUUUUC
ensembl:snRNA U6 U6 spliceosomal RNA